rnacentral:rRNA from 1 species
UACGUAGGGUGCGAGCGUUGUCCGGAAUUACUGGGCGUAAAGAGCUCGUAGGUGGUUUGUCGCGUUGUUCGUGAAAUUCCCUGGCUUAACUGGGGGCGUGCGGGCGAUACGGGCAGACUGGAGUACUGCAGGGGAGACUGGAAUUCCUGGUGUAGCGGUGGAAUGCGCAGAUAUCAGGAGGAACACCGGUGGCGAAGGCGGUUCUCUGGGCAUUACCUGACGCUGAGGAGCGAAAGUGUGGGGAGCGAACAGG